rnacentral:rRNA from 1 species
AUGGGGGCAACCCUGAUCCAGCAAUGCCGCGUGUGUGAAGAAGGCCUUCGGGUUGUAAAGCACUUUUGUCCGGAAAGAAAGCGCUCUGGUUAAUACCUGGGGCGGAUGACGGUACCGGAAGAAUAAGCACCGGCUAACUACGUGCCAGCAGCCGCGGUAAUACGUAGGGUGCGAGCGUUA